CGAAGUAGGAAUUUAUGCGUUAAGUGUUCAUUGGCUGGGGAGUCGCCGUGAAACGAAAAGCAUGCAAAGGCUGCUUACGAUAUAUUUUCCGCACCCGUUG
rnacentral:ncRNA from 1 species